AACCUGGUUGAUCCUGCCAGUAGUCAUAUGCUUGUCUCAAAGACUAAGCCAUGCAUGUCUAAGUAUAAAUGCUAUACAGUGAAACUGCGAAUGGCUCAUUAAAACAGUUAUAGUUUAUUUGGUAAUCGAAUUUACAUGGAUAACCGUGGUAAUUCUAGAGCUAAUACAUGCUGUAAUGCCCGACUUUUUGGAAGGGCCGUAUUUAUUAGAUAUCAACCAAUAAGACUUGUUCUAUUGUGGUGAAUCAUAGUAACUGAUCGGAUCGCAGGCAAGCCCUGCGACAAACCAUUCAAGUUUCUGCCCCAUCAGCUUACGAUGGUAGUGUAUUGGACUACCAUGGCUUUUACGGGUAACGGAGGAUUAGGGUUCGAUUCCGGAGAGGGAGCCUGAGAAACGGCUACCACAUCUAAGGAAGGCAGCAGGCGCGUAAAUUACCCAAUCCUGACUCAGGGAGGUAGUGACAAGAAAUAGCGGGUCGGAGUUUAACUCCGGGACUGAAAUGAGACGAAUCUACACCCCUUAUCGAGGACCGAUUGGAGGGCAAGUCUGGUGCCAGCAGCCGCGGUAAUUCCAGCUCCAAUAGCGUAUAUUAAAGUUGUUGCAGUUAAAAAGCUCGUAGUCGGAUUUCUGGCAUGGGCGAGGC
rnacentral:rRNA from 1 species